rnacentral:lncRNA from 1 species
AUUGAGGUGUAGCCUUUGUCCUCAUCAUGUUUCAGUGGGUUCUGUUUGAUGGAAAUAUACUUACUCUGGGGAAACGGUUUUUCUAAAGAAGUUCCCUGAGAGAAAGCAUAAUGAUAAAAGAGUCAUAAAAUAUGAUGUCAUUCUACAUUACAUACUUCUUUUUGCUUGAAAUGAUUUGUCAGUCUUCAGAUGUGGACCAAUACUGACUUAGCUCCCAACAUUCUUCAGGUAUUCAAACCCAUCUUCUUCAUGUUCGGAUGCUUUGCCAUGGUGGCAGAGUACCUGGCAUAGAUUCUUCCAUGUGUGUUUAGCACAGACUUGACAAUUUAACAAUAUAAUCAAUCACCGUGUUUUUCUGUACAUGUAUAAACACAAUAUAGCCACAUUCAGUUAGUAUUUAAUUUGAAAUAAUUGUAUAUUCACAAAAUUCACAAGCAUAGCCAAGAGCCGUAUUUGAAGAGGAGACUGCAGAGAACGUUUUUAAAAAGAUUUUUCACAACCCUCCAGAACAGCAGUGAGUCUGCCAUUUUUGUAUCCUUUAGUAUCUCCUGGCCCAAACUUAAUUCAUUGGGGAACUUUACAGUGAUCCAUCGGCUUCUAGGCAACCCUGCAGUGGUAGUAGUGGUGACAGCAGCAGCGGCAAUGAUGGAAGCCUGCAGGAGCCAAGAGUGUAAGAAAUGGAAACCGCUUUCUCUAUUUUCUCUGGAGCUAUAGAUUCAGACG